rnacentral:rRNA from 1 species
GCUCAAAUUUGAAAUCUGGCACCUUCGGUGUCCGAGUUGUAAUUUGAAGAUUGUAACCUUGGGGUUGGCUCUUGUCUAUGUUUCUUGGAACAGGACGUCACAGAGGGUGAGAAUCCCGUGCGAUGAGAUGCCCAAUCCUAUGUAAGGUGCUUUCGAAGAGUCGAGUUGUUUGGGAAUGCAGCUCUAAGUGGGUGGUAAAUUCCAUCUAAAGCUAAAUAUUGGCGAGAGACCGAUAGCGAACAAGUACAGUGAUGGAAAGAUGAAAAGAACUUUGAAAAGAGAGUGAAAAAGUACGUGAAAUUGUUGAAAGGGAAGGGUUUGAGAUCAGACUCGAUAUUUUGUGAGCCUUGCCUUCGUGGCGGGGUGACCCGCAGCUUAUCGGGCCAGCAUCGGUUUGGGCGGUAGGAUAAUGGCGUAGGAAUGUGACUUUGCUUCGGUGAAGUGUUAUAGCCUGCGUUGAUGCUGCCUGCCUAGACCGAGGACUGCGA